rnacentral:tRNA from 1 species
AUUCUUUUAGUAUUAACUAGUACAACUGACUUCCAAUCAGUUAGUUUCGGUUCAACCCGAAAAAGAAUA